UUCACCAAUGCAGCCAAUUGUUGUCACUGUGGCACACGUGACUACCGUCCAUUCCAGAAGUUUACAAGCGGGGGCCAUAGUGUGGCUUACUUAGCUGUGGACUAAAGGAAGAGUGGUGGACUGAAGGAGCCAGAAAAUAACAGAAUGGCGCAGGACAACAAGGAAAGGUGAGCUGACGAAUGAAUGAUCACUUGUUCCUACAGAUUAGGCCUCUGCAUGGAGGAUUUUCACAAGCUGCAGUAGAUAUCUGGGGUCUUUUUGGUGUACCUACCUCCUCAAACAAUAUGAUUUAUUCUGAGCAGGGCAAACCACACUUCAAGGGUCUGCAUUGCUGCGUUUUCCUCUCCGCAGUGGACGAGAUUUGGGGGAAACUCACCAUGGCAUGCCACAGCAUCGCCAUUGUACAGCAGGACAGAAGACCAGAGCAUCAAAAAU